rnacentral:tRNA from 1 species
GCCUUCGUGGUGUAGUGGUCAGCACACUCGGCGCGUAUUCGAGAGGUCCGUGGUUCGAGUCCCGUCGAGGGCA